AGUUAACUGUUAGAAUAUUGCCCUUUUGAAAUAAUAUGGUGAAGAUAUUUUUGAAAUUCAGUAAGAGAACUAAAUGUUAAAAUCACACUAUGAACAUCACACCCCUUAAGGUGUAAUAAAACAACGACAUCAGGAUCAAGUCUUAAAGAAGACAAAACACAGCGCAUGGUGCAACAGCCUUUAAUACAACGUGCAGCAAUUCCAAACUCUUCACUGAGCAUGCACAAUAUAAAACAUAUCUGAUGAUAAUAAUACACACCAUAGAAAAUAUCUUCAAAAAUAAAAAUAAUUUUUAAAAAAGGGGAAAUUAAAUACUACACUUUGCUCAGCACCCCCCUGGGCCCCUUAACGGCUGUCUGGGGGCCCGGGGCCCGCAGACGACCCUGGGGAGAGGAAGCUCUCAGCAUCCUGUUGUUAUCACACCUCUGGGGCUCGCUGCGACCGGCCUGACACUCAGAGACGACUUCCUCACACAAGCAGCUGCAGUUCUGAAUAAAUUAGACGAGGUCUCUUUUAGCUAGUAGACAGAACUUUGAGUCAACAAGGCACCGUCUUGUUCUUCCGUGAAGCGCACAUGCAUUCCACUCCAGCCAAUCACGUCGGUGCUCGCAUCAGGGCGGCGUUCCCACGGCGACUGACCAGUAAGAGCCCAGCGCGAUAGGAAACGCCUCGCUAGGAUUGGCUUGGCUAGAAUUGUAAAGCUAAGUUCAAUUGUUAAGGAGGCUGCUUGUCAGCUCAAGGGCAAGCUACUUAGUGCUUGCUGCCAGCUGGCGACGUAUCUGGCCGGUAUGUUGGUCCAACCCCCCUCAGUUUGUAACCACGUCAACCCUCACUCCAAACUCGCACUUACUCGGAGCGUAAUCACACCAAGCUACAACUACCCCAGACACAAACCAGGCCCACAUUAACCCUCAGCACUCUACCCUAGCCUUAACCGCGCCAAUCCUCACCAAAACCAUAACCACAUCAAAUGAACACUCCAGGCCGUCUUUAACCUCAGACCUAACCAGGGUUCCCAGAUCACAGCCAAUCAAAUCCAAACCGCCUCCAACUGUUACAAUUGUUAAGCCGUUAUUUGUUUCCUUAGAGGGCCAGUAUUUGGGUCCCUGCAAAGCAAAUGGUAUGAGGGCUGAAUGCAAAGUUAUCUCUGGGUUUACCUCAGAUAUUUUUUUUUAGAUUUCCCAUGUUGUCUCUGCGGAGAUAUAUAUAGUCUGAAGUAUCCUUCUUGGCUUUGGACUUUGCAAUUGCUUUCUGAUUGACUAAAGCUUAUAACAAUUACAAAAAACGAAUUGUGCUUGGUACGGUUUGGUGCUAUGGCUGUAGUUACUCUUUAAAUGCAGUUUGUCUAAUUUAAGCUAGCUGUUGCUUCAAUUACCGGGCUAAAGCCUCACUCCAAACAUCUGAGGUGAUUGACAGGUGGCUAUUGUUAGCUCCUCCCAUUGGCCUAAUUUGGAUAUCAGGUGCUAGCAAAAUGACUAGGUGGUGGCAAAGCAAAAGUCCCUUCAUAAACAUAUGAGUGACAUCACUGAUAGCUUAACAAUAAUAGCGAUAUAAAAUGUCAUAAAUAUUGUAAACAGUGUGAUUGUCGUUGGGUGACUAUUGACACUAUGGUUGCAAAAAACACAAAUCCAUUCUGCUUCCAGGAAGCUGACGGUUACAUUAGCCUGUUGGAAGAUUGGAAAUGUGUCCAAAUAUUGUCAUGCAGUCACACCACGAAACAGUCAGCCAGUGUUAUGCAACACAAAAGCACUCCUUAUAAGGACAAUGUGACAAAAGACAUCUCUGAACAACGCUAAACCAGUCCCACGUCAACCCUGUUCAAGACUUCCUCCUCCACUCACUUCAGUCGGAUCAGAUGGGUCGAAUGGGUUUGUGAGACACAGGCCAGGAGACACAGGCCAGGAGGCACAGGCCAGGAGACACAGGCCAGGAGACACAGGUCAGGAGGCACAGGGUGCCCAUGGUUCUGGGGGAUGACCCGACACUCGCGUUCACCAGCAGAACUGGAGUAAGUCUGGAACGAUCUACGGCCACUUCCCGACGUUGGGGUCGUUUUCGUAUCAUCACCACCUGAUCAUCAACCACCACGGCUCUAACUAAUCCAUGAUGUUCUAUUUUCAUUGAAUUGAGUUGUAUAGACUAGCUUAAACAAUUGCAAAGCUACUCCUAAAAUCUGCUAGUCCAGUAUAAAAGAUAGUCACAGAUGAAUCUCUGCUUUUUUUU